GAUGGCGCCUAGGAGGGCGUUCACCACCACCUGGGGGCCAGGGGGUCCAUUGCCAGUGCCUCUCCCAGCCUCUGAGAGAGGGCUCCACAUCUCUACGCCACCCAGGGGACCAGGCAGAGCUGGGCAUUGUCAAUUAGGGAGGGCUUCCUAGAGGAGGGCCGACCUGCUGGGCUGUGUGUGUGCAGGUUGGGGGUGGUAAGGGGGAGGGGGAGGGAGCUGCAGGCCUGGUGGUCAAGAGGGCUCUCUGCUUGACUGGAGCCAUCAGCCCAGAGUAGGGGUGCUGGGUUUCUCUGGAAGCAGCCUGGUCACAGGUCACCAGGCAGGAGACAAACACUCUUUGCUCAGCCCCCAUAGGAAACUCAGCUCACGUGACCCAGCCCCUGCUCAUGGGUUUUCAGCCCCAGAGCCCCAGACACAGGCACAGAAAAGAGGGCACCAGGGUCUUUGAAGCAGCAGGAGCUCUGGGACAGAAGCCCCAUCCCCACCAGCCCUAGUCACACAGCCCACCUGACCACUGCAGACUGGGCUGGAUCUGACACCCCUCUCUUUUUAAGGAGGAGCCAUUUCAUGACCUCUAGAGUGGGUGGCACAAGCCUGGUGUGCCCAGGGGAGCUCUGUUCCUGGUUGGGGCACUGACCAGCUGCAUGGCCACAGGCAGCUUGUUUCCCCUCAACGGGAGGGCUCCCUGGCUCUGGGGGGUCAGAGGGCCCAGCAUUCGGCUGGCCUCUUGCAGGGACAGGAAGGGGCCGCUUGGGGGGGCUCGCCAUGGCCUCUAGAUUUGCAGAAAUUUGUCCCGCUGGAGCAGGUCUUGCUCCCAGCAGAUCUCUCUUCCUGGGGAAGUCCCAUUUUUCUUGCCCCCCCCCCCACCCCGCCGCAACCCUGUGUUUACCUGCCACUUCCGCUCUCCAGGGCCUGAGUGGAUCUUCCCCAAACUGACCCCAAGCUCAAGGGCAUGGCCCCAACCGUGACGCCAAGCUCAUCAGUGGGGGGUGAGGGGAAGGCUCAGAGCCAGGGUGCAGGCACCUUGUUUCAAAGCCCUGGGUGGCUCAGUCUGAGGCUGGGGAGGGCCACCCAUAAACCCACUCAUAAACCACCCAUAAACACCACAUAAACCUGCCUUCCUUCCUCCUCUUCCCUGGCCGUGGGGCCCUCCUGGGUGCUUCUGCAGUCUCUGCUCCCCUCAAGUAGUGGCAGAGAUCCCCUCCCUAGUGGGUGGUCCUGUCCGGUGGGAAGAGCAGCCCUGGGACCUGUCCCAGUACCUGUAGGAGCCUGGCACCACCUCAGUGAUGUCAUCAACCAACUGGGGAUGACUGUGAGUAGGAGGGAUGGUACCCGACUCCUUCGGGGAGGCCUGUGAGCCCAUCUAAGAGGCUAAGAAAAUCCUCCAUUCCUGGCCGGGCAUGGUGGCUCACACCUGUAAUCCCAGCACUUUGGGAGGCCAAGGUAGGAGGAUUGCUUGAGCCCAGGAGUUCAAGACCAGCCUGGGCAACAUAGCAAGAUCCCAUCUUAAAAAUAAAUAAAUAAAAUGUAUGAAGUAAGAAACUCCUCCACUCCUAUUGGCAGGGAUGGUAAGUAGCCCUCCUGCCUGCUGUCUUCCCCCAAGGCCUCCUUUCCCUGAGGAGAAGGGAAGGCCUCCCAGUCCCUAACCCCUCCCUGGGCAGCUCUGUCUGAGAAGGGCAGCACUGAUUGAGGGUCUGACUCUGGGGGUGGCCUCGGGCAGGUCCUGCCCUUCAGGGCGUGGGCUUCCUGAGGUCCCCGCCACACUGACAGCCUCUGGAUGUAGCUACGGGGCCAGCGUGGGGGGACUCACAUCCACGAUGAGGAAGUCGAGCCAGCACCAGGCGUUGGUGAAGUACACCUUAAAGCCGUAGGCCACCCAUUUGAGCAGCAUCUCCAUGAUGAAGAUGUAGGUGAAGACCUUGUCGGCAUAUUCUAGGAUGGUGCGAAUGACUCGCCGCUGCUCAAUGUAGAUGUCCUCGAAGGCCUGGGGGCACCAGCACCACCAGGGUGGCUGGGGUCCAGCAGGCUGGGGUGGCAGCCAGGUCCCCUGCCCUGCUCUAUGCUGCUGGUUCCCGGGGGUCUGCCGUGGGGGCCCAGCCCAAGGGACAGGCUGUCCGCAUCUCCUGGACUCCCACCACCCAUCAUGGGGAUGAGAGCGUUUCCCAGUGGGGAGAAUCCCUCAGCCCCCCUUCUCCAAGCCCAACAACAGCAAAUUGCCAUCAUCUGCUGGGCAGGUCCACAGUGACACAUCUUCAGUCCUGCGCCCCCAGUUCCCAGGGGUCUCCUGCCUCCUUAUCAGCAGAGAGUGCACAAAAGUCAGCACCCACGUAAUAAGGGAGGCACCUCUGCCAUGUUAGAAAGUCAGCACAUCCUAUAACCUAUCCCGGAGGCACAGCGAGUUCCUUUAGGAUUCUCAGGGUUUGGGACUGACCAGAGCAUGGCCCUUCCUGUGUGUGGAGACAGGGAGCCCCAAGAGGACCUGCUGUGGGCCUGGCCCCUGCCCCUGACCCGUGCUCCCAGGCAGUGCCUACCAGAGCCCCACUGCUGAGCAGGAUCAUGAAGACAAUGAAGGUCUCGAACCAGUUGUGCUCGACAAUCUUGAAGCAGGCCCUGCGCAGAGUCCACCACUUCUUCCCACGGCCCUGGGAGAUGUCCACGUAGAGGCAGGGCCAGCGCUGCACGCAGGCUGAUGGGGUGAGGGGGGACAGGGACAGGCACCACAUCAUGGGCCUGGGGUUGCCUUGGGGUGCACAGUCAGCGCCCUCCCAUGGCAUCCCAGGAUGCCCCUCUCCAGCUCCCAGACCCAGGGCCCCCACCUCCUCCCUCACCCAGCUCCAUCUGGCUCACAUGGGGGACUCAGGACCUCCCUUCACAGCUGGAUCCAACAUGCGUCAAUGGCUGCUGGGGAUGGGCAUGCAGAGGAAAGGCCUCCUGGCCCCCAGCCCCAGUGCUGCCCCACCCCCCACCUCGCCCAGGCGGUCUCCAUCCUGCACAGCCCAGCAAGCUCUAUGGACAAGGACAUUUCUCCAGUGCCAUG
rnacentral:lncRNA from 1 species